UCUUGUGUUUUAUGAUGGCUAACCGCCAC
rnacentral:sRNA from 1 species